rnacentral:rRNA from 1 species
UACGAACGCUGGCGGCGUGCCUAAUACAUGCAAGUAGAACGCUGAGGACUGGUGCUUGCACUGGUCUAAGGAGUUGCGAACGGGUGAGUAACGCGUAGGUAACCUACCUCAUAGCGGGGGAUAACUAUUGGGAAACGAUAGCUAAUACCGCAUGACAAUAGGGUACACAUGUACCCGUAUUUAAAAGGGGCAAAUGCUUCACUAUGAGAUGGACCUGCGUUGUAUUAGCUAGUUGGUGAGGUAACGGCUCACCAAGGCGACGAUCAGUUAGCCGGUCUGAGAGGAUGAACGGCCACAUCGGGACUGAGAUACGGCCCAG